rnacentral:rRNA from 1 species
GACGAACGCUGGCGGCGUGCCUAAUACAUGCAAGUAGAACGCUGAAGGAGGAGCUUGCUUCUCUGGAUGAGUUGCGAACGGGUGAGUAACGCGUAGGUAACCUGCCUGGUAGCGGGGGAUAACUAUUGGAAACGAUAGCUAAUACCGCAUAAUAGCAGUUAUUGCAUGAUAACUGUUUGAAAGGUGCAAUUGCACCACUACCAGAUGGACCUGCGUUGUAUUAGCUAGUUGGUGGGGUAACGGCUCACCAAGGCGACGAUACAUAGCCGACCUGAGAGGGUGAUCGGCCACACUGGGACUGAGACACGGCCCAGACUCCUACGGGAGGCAGCAGUAGGGAAUCUUCGGCAAUUGACGGAAGUCUGAACGAGCAACGCCGCGUGAGUGAAGAAGGGUUUCGGAUCGUAAAGCCCUGUUGUAAGAGAAGAACGAGUGUGAGAGUGGAAAGUUCACACUGUGACGGUAUCUUACCAGAAAGGGACGGCUAACUACGUG